rnacentral:rRNA from 1 species
UACGUAGGGGGCAAGCGUUGUCCGGAUUUAUUGGGCGUAAAGCGCGUGUAGGCGGUUGCGCAAGUUAGUUGUGAAAUCUCCCGGCUCAACCGGGAAACUGCAGCUAAUACUGCCGUGGCUAGAGUGGCAGAGAGGAAAGUGGAAUUCCCGGUGUAGUAGUGAAAUGCGUAGAUAUCGGGAGGAACACCAGCGGCGAAGGCGACUUUCUGGCGUGCUAACUGACGCUGAGACGCGAAAGCUAGGGGAGCGAACGGG